UCGCGGCGGUGUGCGCAGAAGGGUNUGGGCUCGAGCCUGCCUGGAGCCGCCGCCGGUGCAGAUCUUGGUGGUAGUAGCAAAUACUCCAGCGAGGCCCUGGAGGACUGAUGUGGAGAAGGGUUUCGUGUGAACAGCCGUUGCACACGAGUCAGUCGAUCCUAAGCCCUAGGAGAAAUCCGAUGCAAACGGCGAUGGGAAACGCACUGUACUCACUGUAAAGACAGAGACCCAUUGAUCGGGCGAAAGGGAAUCCGGUUCCUAUUCCGGAACCCGGCAGCGGAACCGUUGUUUGUCGGGCCCUCGCAAGGGGUUCGUCAGGGCAACCUAAAAGGGCCCGGAGACGCCGUCGGGGGCCCCGGAAAGAGUUUUCUUUUCUGCAUGAGCGUUCGAGUUCCCUGGAAUCCUCUCGCAGGGAGAUAGGGUUUGGAACGCGAAGAGCACCGCAGUUGCGGCGGUGCACGGGAAUUCCCGACGGACCUUGAAAAUCCGGGAGAGGGCCACGUGGAGGUGUCGCGNCGGCUCGUACCCAUAUCCGCAGCAGGUCUCCAAGGAGAAGAGCCUCUAGU
rnacentral:rRNA from 1 species